UACGUAGGGUGCAAGCGUUAAUCGGAAUUACUGGGCGUAAAGCGUGCGCAGGCGGUUGGGCAAGACCGAUGUGAAAUCCCCGGGCUUAACCUGGGAAUGGCAUUGGUGACUGCACGGCUAGAGUGUGUCAGAGGGGGGUGGAAUUCCACGUGUAGCAGUGAAAUGCGUAGAGAUGUGGAGGAAUACCGAUGGCGAAGGCAGCCCCCUGGGAUAACGACUGACGCUCAUGCACGAAAGCGUGGGGAGCAAACAGG
rnacentral:rRNA from 1 species